ensembl:lncRNA
GGAGAGUGGGAGGGGGGGAGGAGAGAGUGGGGGGGAGAGGAGGGAGGAAGUGGGGGAGAGAGGGAGGGAGGACAGGAAAGAAAGAAAGAAAGAAAGAAAGAAAGAAAGAAAGAAAAAGCAGUUCAGAGUGAUGUGUGCACGCAUGUCCAUCAUGUGAUUCUUAUGUAACCGUGUUGACGCAGGGGGGCGUACCGUUUAUCCUUCCCACUGCCCCCAUCCACCUUUUCCUACUAUCUAUACAUGCCCGUAUCCAACCUUUCACUUCGCCAAAUCUCAAUGGUAAGCUGACGCCUUGCCCCAAGAUCUCUUUCAUACUUUGAAGCUUCUUAAAACAUUGUGAAACAGGUGAAAGGUGAAUGUGCUAUAUGAGAGCAAACGCAGCAGGGUUAUGAUAAUGACAAUGGUCGGGAAUCUAAGAGAAGGAACAGACUGUAUUUUUGUUCAGGUAUUUUUCCAUGAGCCUCAUCCUGCCUGUGAACUAUAUGAUGAGAAACAGUUCACCACCAUACACCAUUCAACACACAACUCAACACAGCACUCAACAAUUCUAUGCUACAGCAAAAGAUAUAGACAAAAACAUUCAAAAUACCAGUGUGAAUGCAAGGGAGUGAAACAGUUAUUCAAGUAACUCAGUAGCAUGAUAAGGAAAAUAUAUUGCUCAUAAAAUUAGCCGCUGGCAAAAUAACAAUUGAUAAGACUCUAAGGUAGAUAAGAGAAAAGUUGAAAGGAGUGCAUGUCAAACAUUGUUUGUAAGAGAAAGUGACCGGAUGAGAGAGUGAGAUACAGCGCCCAGGAGUCAGACGCCGGGAAGAAAGUACAUUUUUCAAUGUUUAUAUACAUUGCAAAGUUUAAGUUAGAUACAAGUCAUACUACUGACGUAUACGAGUGCAACAGGAGGACGGCCAGGCUGGUGAUACCACGAGACAGAACUCCCUUCAAGUCCUUUUCAACGCUCUUCAGAUCCAGCUCUCUCCACACCUCCAGAGAAUCCCCUGUGCUGCC